rnacentral:rRNA from 1 species
CAGCCGCCGCGGUAACACAGAGGGUGCGAGCGUUAAUCGGAUUUACUGGGCGUAAAGCGUGCGUAGGCGGCUUUUUAAGUCGGAUGUGAAAUCCCUGAGCUUAACUUAGGAAUUGCAUUCGAUACUGGGAAGCUAGAGUAUGGGAGAGGAUGGUAGAAUUCCAGGUGUAGCGGUGAAAUGCGUAGAGAUCUGGAGGAAUACCGAUGGCGAAGGCAGCCAUCUGGCCUAAUACUGACGCUGAGGUACGAAAGCAUGGGGAGCAAACAGGAUUAGAUACCCGAGUAGUCCCUGUCUCUUAUAC